rnacentral:lncRNA from 1 species
GGGAAAAAAUAAAUAUCUCAGAAUCUCCUAUACCUCAGAUUCCUUGAAAACUCAUGGUACGAAAUGAUCGACUGUCUGGUUGGUUCAGCACAGGGAAUAAAAACAGCUGAAAGAGGCAACAUGCACCAGACAGACACGAAUAGUAUUUUCAGCUCCCAGCUGCAAUUCUACAGCAAUAGAAACUUACAUAGGACACCCGUACUCGCCGGCGAUGCACCAGCCCGCAGCACUGCAUGAAGAGGGGGCAGAACGCAGUCAGCGUGUGGCUUCACCAAGCUGCACUGUGCCUUGUCUUCUCGUCACAGCCUCGGUCCAUUUCUUCCCACCUUCUACUCCCAGUAAUAGAGACAGACAUCGGCUGCUGGGCUAAGAUGAAUGUCCCAGCUUCUCCUGCAACUUGGAUGGCCACGGGACUAGAUUCUGGUCAAUGGGCAGAUGUAGAAAUGGUAUGUGCCAAUACCCAAGUCAUGUGUCACUGCUGAGAGCUGGGACAGCCAUUUAUAAUGAGAAGAAAGCUGCACAUUCAGGAGAAGAGAGCGACAAGACAGACCCAAGUCCCUAGGACAGGGGAGCUGCCAUAUUGGCCCAAUAGUGUUUACGUUUGGACUACACCAAGAAAGAGACAUUAACUCCUAUAUUGGCACUUUUGCUCUGAUUCCAAUUAUAGAUGCUAAACUUGUACUAUUAUUACUAUUGUUAUUAUUAUUAAUUUUUGAGACAGGGUCUGUGUCUGUUACCCAGGCUGGAGUGCAGUGGUGCAGUCUCAGCUCACUAUAGCCUCAACCUCCUAGGCUCACAGUGAUCCUCCCACCUCAGCCUCCCAAGUAGUAGUUGGGACUACAGGUAUGUGCCAACAUGCGCAGCUAAUUUUUGUAUUUUUUUGUAGAGAUGGGGUUUUGCCAUGUUUCCCAGGCUGGUCUUGAACUCCUGAGCUCGUGCAAUCUACCCACCUUGGCCUCUCAAAGUGCUGGGAUUAGAGGCCUGAGCCACCAUGCCCGGCCUAAACAUGGAUUUUAAAAGCACCUCAAAGUGUUUCUGGAAUGAAUGAUGAAUUCACAGAUCCAAGCCUGUGGAGGAGGCGGGGGAGUGGAAGAGGGAAAAAAGAAAAGGCAAGAAUGGAGACGAGAAUCAGGAACUCAGGCUGGGACUACCUGGGUCCCAGCAAAAGAGUUUAGACACAGCAAAGAGUUUAGAAUUGAACUGGCAGUACAUGCAGAAUUACUGAAACUUUUAAAUGUGAAAAUAUCUGUUGUUUUAUUAAGAAGUAGAAAAAAAAUUCCAGACUGUUGAGUCUAAAAAUAACCUGGUCAAUAGUUCAACUUCAGCAAGAAAUUGAAAGCUUUUGAGCUUGUAUACUUGUCUGUGAUAACUGUUCAUUUACUAAAUAAUCAAAUAAAGUCAACAAAAACUAGCUGCUUGGCUCAUGUAGCUAAAUUACAAACCUAAUGAAUUGCUAAAUUAGCUAUUUUGUUAUAAUACGAGAUAUCUUAAAAGCAAAAUAUUGAAAAGCGUUAAGAAGAGGCUCAAUGACAAAAAUCAACAAAUUAAAAGUAAUCAAAGGUAAAUGUAGAUAAUAUCGAUGGAAGAUAUAUGUUUUUAAAUCCAAGGGAUUUAUUCCUGGCCAGUCUUUUGAAAGUAUGAGGAUUAAUGUUUCUUUACUAUUCACUUUCUAUGUUACUAUUAGUUAGGAGUGGCAAGAACACAGUCAGAGUUAAACAUCAGAUGAAGUGCUUCCUUCAAGAAGAGAACUCUUUCAUAAUAAGAAAUGAAAGACCUAAAGAAGCCUUCUGUAGCAGAACUGAAGGUUUUUUGUCAGAAUUGACUCUGCUUAAGUGCUUCUGGCUUUUCUGUGGCUGCGAUUUUAGGAAAGAAGGGUCCGUCUUCUGACAGACACCUGCUUAAAUACUCAUUAGACUCUCCCUUCACAGUACGUCUGCAACUAUGAAGAGCCUAGGGUGCUUAAGUUGACCAAAAACUCUUGCUAAUUUCAGUAAAAACAAAAAAAGGACCAACUGUCUCUAUCCAUCCAUUCAGUCAACAAUAUCAACUGAGUGCUGCUCAUCAAGUGCGUGUCUCUGCUGGGCACCAGUAGGAAAACGACAAGUAAAACAACCAAUGUCCUUGCCUUCAAGGAGCUUAAAGUCCAGGGGGCAAGGCAAUUUGAAUCAAAUAAUCACAUAAGCAUAGAAUUACAAGCUAAUAAGAUCUUUGCAUGAAUGUACAGAAUACUAUGAGAAUGUAGAGGGGGUUGACAUCUUCGAGAAUUAGAAGGGUCAGAAAAGGUGUCUCUGGGGCACUGCUACCUGAGCUGAGGCUCAAGGGUGGGAAGGAGUUCACUAAAGGCAGGGAGAGGGAAGCUCUACGUGGUAGAAGGGAGAAGGCCCAGCUUAAGCAGUUGGAGAAUAAAGUAAGAGAGGGAGGAGAAGAUGAGGUUAGAGAGGCAGGUGAUUAUCAGGCAAGAUCAUGAGGGCCACGCUGGGGAUCUUUUCUCUUUCUACUAAGAGCAGUGGGAUUUCUUUCCCACAAGAGGCAUGAUCAGAUUUGUGCCAUUUAAAAUCCACUUUGGCAGGACAGUUGAAGACAGAUUGGAAGACGGCUAGAGAGAAGCCAGGGAGAUCAGCUAGGAAGUACUUUUACCCAAGCAAAAGAUGAUGCUCUCAUGCUAAGGAGCUGAAGAUGGGAGAUAAGGAAAAUGAAUGAAUCUAUUAGAUAUUGGGGAAUUCAAGUAGGUAAGUGCAAGGACAGAAACAGAAAAUGAAACCCAAUGUAAUACAUACACGUUCCCGUGUUCUCUCAUUCCUGAACAUUUCCAUGCAUUUCUGAAGUUCAGUCUUCAGUAAUCCGAUCUGUGAUAAACCUUUGUUUUCAUGUCAGUGCCAGUGUACUUCUAUUUCUUGGUCCAGUCCUCAUUUCUCUCCUUAGGGUCCUGAACAAAAUCUCUAUCUGGCUGCUUGCAGCUUCCACUGAACUCCACUUCUUUAGCCACCAAAAUGCACACUCUAUUUCAUUCCAGCUUCUACAGAACUGAAAACCUUUCUCUAAUUUUCCUUUAUUUCUCACCAAAGUGUCUGGGUUGUCUUUUGAUGUACGGGAUUUUUUUUGGUUUUUGUUUUGUUUUUCAGACCAACAA